AACGAACGCUGGCGGCAGGCUUAACACAUGCAAGUCGAACGGGCGUAGCAAUACGUCAGUGGCAGACGGGUGAGUAACACGUGGGAACCUUCCUCGUUGUACGGAACAACUCAGGGAAACUUGAGCUAAUACCGUAUACGUCCGAGAGGAGAAAGAUUUAUCGCAAUGAGACGGGCCCGCGUCGGAUUAGGUAGUUGGUGGGGUAACGGCCUACCAAGCCUACGAUCCGUAGCUGAUCUGAGAGGAUGAUCAGCCACACUGGGACUGAGACACGGCCCAGACUCCUACGGGAGGCAGCAGUGGGGAAUCUUGGACAAUGGGCGCAAGCCUGAUCCAGCCAUGCCGCGUGAGUGAAGAAGGCCUUAGGGUUGUAAAGCUCUUUUGCCAGGGACGAUAAUGACGGUACCUGGAGAAUAAGCCCCGGCAAACUUCGUG
rnacentral:rRNA from 1 species